UCUGCCUUAUCGGCAAGCGGUCCCAUUAGAGUGCCCAACUUAAUGCUGGCAACUAAUGGCAAGGGUUGCGCUCGUUGCGGGACUUAACCCAACAUCUCACGACACGAGCUGACGACAGCCAUGCAGCACCUGUCUCGGCGUCCCCGAAGGGAACUCCCGCUUUCACGGGAUAGCACCGGAUGUCAAGCCCAGGUAAGGUUCUUCGCGUUGCAUCGAAUUAAACCACAUACUCCACCGCUUGUGCGGGCCCCCGUCAAUUUCUUUGAGUUUUAAUCUUGCGACCGUAUUCCCCAGGCGGGAUACUUAAUGCGUUAGCGACGGCACCGGGAGGGUAAGAACUCCCGACACCUAGUAUCCAUCGUUUACGGCGUGGACUAC
rnacentral:misc_RNA from 1 species